GGUUCCAUUCCAGUUGGUCUAUAGUAUCUUUCAUCUACAUCUUUUUCUUUUCUCCUGCACUCACAAAACAAUGCAGCCAUCAAGAUCUGGAAAAUGGAACGGAGCUCAUUCAUCUCCUUUUUCAUCUCCUCAUCUGAAUCCCACUAUCUUACCGGCGUUAAAUUCUCUCAUGAUCUGUAUUUUGUUAGUUUCCACUAUAUCCACCCAUCAUCACUGUCUCCCUCGCGGCCACCACAUAAUCUCCCACCACCAACAACCACCAUCGCACCUCCAGUUCAAAAUCUUUGCCGUUGACGCCGCCAACCUUUCAAUUACGAAUCAAAAAUUUCAACCCACUUUGCCAAACCAAAAACCCGCAAAAUUGACAUUUUGGGGUUUGGAAAUUGCGACCAGUUUUGAGCUAAAACCGUCCUCGCACAAUAUCGUGUAGAUUGCUCAAGAUAACCCAAGUUUGUUGAUGUCAUCAACUACACCGAGUCUUGUCAUGGAUCCGGUCAUUGUCAAAUUAGCGGAUUAUCUAGUUUUUCUUUCCCUUAUUGUUUUGUUUAUUCCUGAAAUUCUGGUAACCUUCUGUUGAUGUUAAUCAUCUCAAAAUACGUCAUCUCCCUGGAAAUGAAAAGUUUUUAUUAGCUUCAUUGGUGUGGCUAGGGAAAGGGUUCGGAUAUGAUCACAAAGAUGCUCUGGUACGUGAUUAGAGAAAACUUCCUACUUUUACCAUUUAUAACACAAUAAUUAAGCUACUUACUUUUCGUGGUUUACUUUGUAAUAUUACGAAUGUUACUCUUGGGUCUAUAUAUCUAUGUCUACAUUGCCUGUGGAAAGUUUUGAUUUUUAUUUCAGGUUACAUGGGAACGGCUUGGUUUCCGAAUUCUGCCAGGAAAGAUAAAUUGCAGCUAUAUCAUUGGUAGUGACGAGAAUAUGUGAAUCAAGGCUCAUGAAAAGGUUACACCAAAUAAAGUAGCAGCAAUAGUACUGACACUAACGGUACUAACACUAACGGACCGAAAGCUCCUAAUAUCAAGUAUGCUUCAGUGCCGGCUUAAUUGUUUUGGGGGCUUUAGGUGAGACCAAUUUUGGAGGCCUUGUUCAUUAACAUAUAAAUUAAGUGUAACGGCUUUUAAGAUUCACAAAUACAUUUUAUUUCAUUA